rnacentral:sRNA from 1 species
CCCGUCGGUCCGGCGUCAGUGGGUUAUCAUUUCUGUUCCCUUCGGGGAAAUUUCCCACCGGCACUACCUUGACCGUUGU